UCCAAGAAAAAGCUCCCUUUAAAGAGGAUUAUUAGAUUUUUAAAAACAAUAACAUAACAAUAAAAACUCAACCUGGGGCAGAACAUGAAAAUAGAGAUUGAUGCAAAAAACAGAUUUGUGGUUUUUGUGGUAUUUUGGAUGUUAAAAUGCAUAUCCUUGCUGAUUUUAUAAGAAAAUAAUUCUGUAUUAUUGCUUUCCUGCAAUCCUCAACUAUAGAGAAAAUAAAGUAUGCCCUUCACGACUAUGACGCGACACAUAUCUAAAUAUGACACGUGUGAUGGCGCGAGGUGACAGGAAAGAGAAUUGUGAGGUAAAGGCGCGCGAAAUCUUGGCCACGCGCCUGAAUGGCUCUGUUUAACCCGGCUUAAUAACGCCAAUGCGAGCUCGAACAUGUCUGUAGGCAAAUUAUUGGCAAACUCCAACGAUUUUUAUUUCCAAAAUAACGCAAACACAGCCACGGACACGUUAAGGCGCAAGGCAUUUUGUUGGUGCUUGAUGUUUAUCAGCUGGAGAGCGACAUGACUGGACGUUGGAAACGUUGUGCCGUGCCCGGAUGCAACACUGGGUCUGAUGUAGGGAAGAAGACGGCAGCAGGGAGUCCUGUACCAGCUGAGUCCAGUCUGAAACCCACCGCCGUCAGCAAAGCCUGCCAACCCGGUACACCUCCUACUUUAUUCUCCACACUCUGUUGAGAUGUGUAC